rnacentral:lncRNA from 10 species
CUGGACUCAUUUCAGGACUCUGAGCAGAGUUCUUAGGUCUGUAAGCCAAGCCACUUCUGUUUCUCUUUUGAGUUGCUAUAAAGUACAGACGAUUCUACCAACCUUGACACAAACGCCCAGCUGCCCCCAGUUCAGUGCCACAGAGAAAAGCCUUGCAGAACAGGUUGAGUUUGUGGAUGGGCAUGGGGUAGAAGGUAUCAUCUCUUCUCUAUCAAUGACUUGGGUGAUACUUCUGGCAACAAAACAGACAGUUCUCGGCCUCUGUGUUUUCAUUGUCCAACUGAAGAUUAGACAAGAGGCAGCAUGGGGUGGUGGAUAAAUCGUGGACCAGGAUUGAAGCGAAGAUCUGCUCAUCUGGGACACUCACCAGUCGUCCUCAGGUUCUGAAGAGAACUCACCGGUUGUAGAGUCUGUGUUAAUCACCCAGCAUUAAUAUUUCCAUUGCUCCAUCAUCAUGUGUAAGCCUGUCAACAGCGUUCUUCUCCAGAAGUAAACUUGCUCAACCUUUAGUUUCACAUCAGUGAAGGUGGAUUCUUUCACCAAGAUGGACUUGUUUGUUCUCAGGAAAUCCAUACAGCCCUCGAUGAAGAGUUCAGAAACUCUUUUUAUGCAUUAAAAGCACCUACACAAUUUGAUGGUUUAAUACAACAAGUUUUUCCUCAUAAUUCUGUGGGUCAGCAGUUUGGGCUGGGAUCAGCUGGGCUGUUCCUCUGUUGGUUUUCCUGAGGACACUCGUGACUGCUGUCAUCAGGCAGUUCCACUGGGGCUGAGUGAUCCAACAUGACUCACUUACAUGCCUGGCUAUGGGUGACAGCUCUUCUCCGGACCUUACUCCCCACAAGCUUUCUCAUCCUCCAGCCAGCUGGACUGGACUUUUCCACACAGUGUUCUCAGGGUCUCAAGAGAGCGAGAGCAGAAGCUGCCAGGCCACUUGAGGUCCAGACUUGGAACUAACACCAUCACUUCUACUGCAAUUUAUUGUUCAAAGCAGGACAUUAAGCACCCCUAUUCAAGGGGGUAGAGAAAUAGACUCUACCUCUUGAUGGGGGAAGCAAAGGCACCUGAAAACAGAAGUGGGAGAAAUCUGUGACCGUUUUUUGCAGUCUUUCACAAGGAGAAAAUAAUCUUACCUGGACAAAGAAGAGGCUUCACCCCAGUGUUCUUUCAACUUUAACAUGAACAUGAAUCACCUUAGGAACUUGUUACAAUGCAGGUUCUGAUUCAGUUGGUCUGGUGUGGGACUGAAGGUAUUUCUAACAAGCUCUCAGGUGAUGCUGAUGCAGCUGGUUCACAGAGUACAGUUGGUGAACCAAGGUUCUAAUCACUGACAUGGGUUAUGAAGACCAGAAAUCUAAAAUAAAGGUGUUGGCAAGACCAUGUCCUCUCUGCAGCCUCUUGGGAAGAAUCCUUCCUUGCCUCCUCCUCUUCUGGUGGUUCUCAUUAUUCCUUGGCUUAUGGCAGAAAUUUCUGUUGGAUGGCACUGAUGUGGACGCUUAACAGAGGCCAAAAGCACAAGCAGAAUGAGCCAAGAACACAUCGGUGAUCAGAGCAAUGCAUGUACAGAACAAGGGAGGAGCAAAUGCCAGAGGGUAAGAAGGAAAGGCUCCCAGAUGGAAGGAAGGAAG